GCCACAUCACAUUGAAACACCAGUUCUUGUCCGAUCACCAAAGUUAAGCAAUGGUGAGCCUGGUCAGUAAUUAGAUGAGUGACCACUGGGGAAUAAUACUAGGUGC